AGGUAAGUGCAUAGAACUCAAAAACAUUAGACUGGGUGAAAUAUCGAAGGAUAUUUCUACAUACACAAAACAAGUUCAUAUAACUACAACUAUACAUCAUCUUAUUUCUACUACUUAAGAACUAGAUUUCACCAUACACUAGGUAAUGUGGAGCUUAGUCCACUUCCUCAAUCUUAGGGCCUGCACCAGCACUGCUAGCACCAGCCGAAGGGCCAUCUUCAUCCAUACCACCAGCCAUGUCAGGACCAGCCCCGCCCUGGUACAUCUUCGCGAUAAUGGGGUUGCAUAUGCUCUCAAGCUCCUUCAUCUUGUCCUCAAAUUCAUCAGCCUCCGCGAGUUGAUUCCCAUCAAGCCACUGAAUAGCCUGCUCAACUGAAUCUUCUAUCUUCUUCUUCUCCCUAACACAGAGCAAAUAAAAAUGGCGUCCAUAGCCGGUGUUAGUAUAACAAUCCCAACAAUUUCAUCCGAUUCACCCAAAAUUCAGCCCUUGAAAUUGCAAACCCUAAACAGCCCAUGGAAGAAAUCAAGUCAAUUGGGUUACAGGAGGAUGAUGUAUGUAGUGGUACCCAGAGUAGUUCCGGAUAAGAAGCUAUCUGAUUUAGUUGCGGAAAGUGUUAAAGAAGCUGAAGAAACUUGUGCGGAGGAUCCGGUGAGCGGCGAGUGUAAGGCGGCAUGGGAUGUGGUGGAAGAGACGAGUGCAGCAGCGAGCCAUGCGAGGGAUAAGAAGAAGGAAUCAGAUGUACUGGAGAAUUAUUGCAAGGAUAAUCCAGAAACUGAUGAAUGCCGCACUUACGAUAAUUAAUUAUGAUGAUGAUUAGUAGCAGCUACUCAUGUCAUGUCUUGUGUUCUUUUCAAAUGGUAAUCUGUUUUAUCAAAACUUAAAUCUUCUCUUAUGUUAUGUAUGGUAUGGUGUUUAAUUAUACAUACUGUUACCAUGAAUUCCAAUUUAUGUGAUAUAGUUUGAACGAACGAAUUGAAAAUGAUAAAGUUAGAUCAGAGCAGAAAUAUAACCAGAGAGCUUUAGUUUAAACAAUUGUUCUCUGCUAGUAAUGCUACUUUCAAUUUUCAGUUUACAUGAAUAAAUAAA
rnacentral:misc_RNA from 1 species